UGUACAUGCAGUAGCUGAUUCCACAAACACAGCGCAGCUCCAAGACACUGUAGAUUGUGCAGAUGAAGGACCACUCACAAUGCCUGCAGCAAGUGAGACUGCUGCUCCCUCUGAAGAGAAAAAUGCUGCUCAAUCCCACAAUUCCCGAAGAGCUCCCAAAAACAUGUGGUCCAAGGCUGAGGUUGCUGCAGUGAUGAGGCAUUUUAAAGACCACAUAAACAAAGGGAAACUAGCCACCAAAAAUGAAUGCAGUCAUUGCAAAUUGGUAGAAGAUCCGGUGUUGGCAGGAAGAACAGUUCAAAACAUAAGAGAUUUUGUAAGAAACAGAGGAUUAACUGCAAAAAGGCAGAAAAAAAUGAACUAAAAUAACUGUUUAGAGAGCUGUGGUUUUACAUCUUGGUCAGAUUGCCAAUUGUUGUUAACAC